rnacentral:rRNA from 1 species
GACGAACGCUGGCGGCGUGCUUAACACAUGCAAGUCGAACGGAAAGCCCUGCUUUUGUGGGGUGCUCGAGUGGCGAACGGGUGAGUAACACGUGAGUAACCUGCCCUUGACUUUGGGAUAACUUCAGGAAACUGGGGCUAAUACCGGAUAGGAGCUCCUGCUGCAUGGUGGGGGUUGGAAAGUUUCGGCGGUUGGGGAUGGUCUCGCGGCUUAUCAGCUUGUUGGUGGGGUAGUGGCUUACCAAGGCUUUGACGGGUAGCCGGCCUGAGAGGGUGACCGGCCACAUUGGGACUGAGAUACGGCGCAGACUCCUACGGGAGGCAGCAGUGGGGAAUAUUGCACAAUGGGCGGAAGCCAGAUGCAGCAACGCCGCGUGCGGGAUGACGGCCUUCGGGUUGUAAACCGCUUUGGCCUGUGAUGAAGCGUGAGUGACGGUAAUGGGUAAAGAAGCACCGGCUAACUACGUG